rnacentral:tRNA from 1 species
GGACCCGUAGCUCAACUGGAUAGAGCAUCUGACUACGGAUCAGAAGGUUAGGGGUUCAAAUCCCUACGGGUCCG